rnacentral:rRNA from 1 species
UGGGGAAUAUUGGACAAUGGGCGAAAGCCUGAUCCAGCCAUGCCGCGUGUGUGAAGAAGGUCUUCGGAUUGUAAAGCACUUUAAGUUGGGAGGAAGGGCAUUAACCUAAUACGUUAGUGUUUUGACGUUACCGACAGAAUAAGCACCGGCUAACUCUGUGCCAGCAGCCGCGGUAAUACAGAGGGUGAAAGCGUUAAUCGGAAUUACUGGGCGUAAAGCGCGCGUAGGUGGUUUGUUAAGUUGGAUGGGAAAUCCCCGGGCUCAACCUGGGAACUGCAUUCAAAACUGACUGACUAGAGUAUGGUAGAGGGUGGUGGAAGUUCCUGUGUAGCGGUGAAAUGCGUAGAUAUAGGAAGGAACACCAGUGGCGAAGGCGACCACCUGGACUAAUACUGACACUGAAGUGCGAAAGCGUGGGGAGCAAACA